AUAUCUCUCUGUACGGGAAGGAUGAGAAGCUUCGACUAAGGUUCGAUUCGAGCGUCAGCGAGAAAGCGUUGCCGCAGGCAACGACCCGAAGAGCGAAGCGCGCAGCGCUGAGUCAUCCUUCCCCCACCACCA
rnacentral:sRNA from 1 species